rnacentral:rRNA from 1 species
AACGAACGCUGGCGGCAUGCCUAACACAUGCAAGUCGAACGAGACCUUCGGGUCUAGUGGCGCACGGGUGCGUAACGCGUGGGAACCUGCCCUUAGGUUCGGAAUAACUCCCCGAAAGGGGUGCUAAUACCGGAUAAUGUCUGCGGACCAAAGAUUUAUCGCCUUUGGAUGGGCCCGCGUUGGAUUAGCUAGUUGGUAGGGUAAAAGCCUACCAAGGCGACGAUCCAUAGCUGGUCUGAGAGGAUGAUCAGCCACACUGGGACUGAGACACGGCCCAGACUCCUACGGGAGGCAGCAGUGGGGAAUAUUGGACAAUGGGCGAAAGCCUGAUCCCGCAAUGCCGCGUGAGUGAUGAAGGCCGUAGGGUUGUAAAGCUCUUUUACCCGGGAUGAUAAUGACAGUACCGGGAGAAUAAGCUCCGGCUAACUCCGUG